rnacentral:rRNA from 1 species
GAUGAACGCUGGCGGCGUGCCUAAUACAUGCAAGUCGAGCGAACAGAUGAGGAGCUUGCUCCUCUGACGUUAGCGGCGGACGGGUGAGUAACACGUGGAUAACCUACCUCUAAGACUGGGAUAACUUCGGGAAACCGGAGCUAAUACCGGAUAAUAUAUUGAACCGCAUGGUUCAAUAGUUAAAGACGGUUUUGCUGUCACUUAUAGAUGGAUCCGCGCCGCAUUAGGUAGUUGGUAAGGUAACGGCUUACCAAGGCAACGAUGCGUAGCCGACCUGAGAGGGUGAACAGCCACACUGGGAGUGGGACACGGUCCAGGCUCCUACGGGAGGCAGGAGUGGGGAAUAUUGCACAAAGGGGGGAAGCCUGCACGAGGCACGCCGGGUGGGUGAAGAAGGGCUUCGGGUUGUAAAACCCUUUUUUUGGGGAAAAAAAAAAGCGGGAUGAAACAAGGCUGUUCUGACGGUACCCAAAUAAGAAGCCCCGGCUAACUUCGUG